UUUUUUUUAGUUUAAAAUAAAACAUUACACUUUCAUUGUAAAAAUAAUUUUCAAAAUUAAAAAAAU
rnacentral:tRNA from 1 species